CGUGGAUGAUGUGGUUUAAUUCGAUGCAACGCGAAAACUUACCCACCUUUGACAUGUCAAGAAGUUUCCAGAGAUGGAUUCGUGCUCGAAAGAGAACUUGAACACAGGUGCUGCAUGGCUGUCGUCAGCUCGUGUCGUGAGAUGUUGGGUUAAGUCCCGCAACGAGCGCAACCCUUGUCAUUAGUUGCUACAUUCAGUUGGGCACUCUAAUGAGACUGCCGGUGACAAACCGGAGGAAGGUGGGGAUGACGUCAAGUCCUCAUGGCCCUUAUAGGUGGGGCUACACACGUCAUACAAUGGCCGGUACAAAGGGUCGCAAACCCGCGAGGGGGAGCCAAUCCAUCAAAGCCGGUCGUAGUCCGGAUCGCAGUCUGCAACUCGACUGCGUGAAGUCGGAAUCGCUAGUAAUCGCGGAUCAGCACGCCGCGGUGAAUACGUUCCCGGGCCUU
rnacentral:rRNA from 1 species